CCGGAUGCCAAUCCAAAUAAUGAGAACAGUCUUGAGUGGAGAGGAAAGGUUUUUACUAUGCCAGGCACAGGGAGCAAAGCAAGGGCUCAUGCCUCAAAAAUUGCUAGCUCCCCAAUGAGGAAUGGGUAGGGAUUUUUAUUUGAGGCUUGGGUAGGGGAGGGGGAAACAUGUAGCUUCGGCAGGUCGGUGCUUUUACACUAGCCUGCAUUUGUCCUUGAGAGGCUGCUUGCAGCAAGGCAGCAGGGAUGGUGAGAUAGGAGGAUGGCAGGUGGACAUCCUUCGCCGUUGUCUUGUUUUCUUGUUUGAGGUGGAUUCGAGUGCCAGGAGUCCAGAAGUUGAGGUCUGGGAAGCCUCCGCUUCUUGAUGUUCUUGAGACAGUGGCUUUCCUGGCAAACUUCAAGGAGAGAUGAUUAGCUAAACUUUAGUGUGCCUCCAACUCCAGGCUGCCUGGGCUUUUAACAAUUUGUAACUCCCAUUUAGUUGUAAAGCUCAAGGAGUCAAAGUUUAAAGAAACAGGUGUUUACAUGUGAGUGGAGCUAGAGAAGCAGGGUGGUGGGUUUUAGUUUUAACCCCAUAUACGCUGGGUUCAAUGUGGGGAACUGAUAUCAGGGCUGAUGUUAAGAGCCUGUAACAAAAUGAUCUUAGGAUACAUACCCAGGAAACAUGUGCUGCUAGGACUCCAACAGAAAACCUGGCAAUAUUGGAGGUACAUAAGAAGAGAUGGAGAGGGGAAAAUGGGUGGGACACUAUGUUAGUAGGGAUUAUACUCCUACUCAAAAUUAUCAAAAUCAGUGAAGUGAUGGGGAAAAUUUGUGAGGACAUUGUGAGACAUGGAAACUUUCCACCUCAUAGCUUUUGCAAUCAGACUUUAAAGAGCACAAUACACACAGCUAUAAAUAAAACAGAGAAAAAAAUUAUUGGAACCAAGGCAAAAGAAAUCAGAGAGUGAGAGAUAUAAGAACAUGGAACAAACAGUGUUGGUCUAUUCUGAGUGGGAAGGCCAGUGGCCAAUUGAAGACAUAGGCAGAAGCCUUCCAGCCAAGCUCUCCUCCUAAGUCAGACACCUAACAAAGGGAAUGGUUCUGAGGCUCUGAGGUGUCCCUGGAGCACAUAGCUGCCCUGUGUCAAUACGGUGGGUGUUUUCACUCAGCUAACUUGGAAAUCAUGAGAGCACCAUUGUUUCUUCAUUUUUACAGUACAAUGAAAAUAUAUCUGAUAAAUUACUGGGAAAGAAAAUGGACAGAUAUGGAAAUAUGUGACAAAAAAGAAGUUCUUUGGCUGAUUAAAUGUCCUUGAAAAUAAGCACCUGUACAGAGAGAUGGGGAAAGUUUUUUUUCUUUUCAAGUUGUUAAAAAUUGGGGAGGUGCUGUCACUCUUUUUUGCUUUCUUGGAGAAACAAUUGAGUCAAAGAAUAAAUAAUAUAUCAAAGAUCAGCUUCUCAUGAAGCUGUUAGGAAAACAGAACAAUGUUAAUGAAUAUUUCAUUUGCUUUUCUUCCAGUGAGGUUAUUGAACCUUUACAAGGAAAGAGCUCUUAGUAAAAUGGAAAAAAGAGCCUGCCUCAAGGAAGAAGCAGGUGAUCGGUGUUUUAUGCUGAUAUGAUCUUCUCCUUAAAGGAAUAGGCAAUCUGCCUGGGGGUCUCUUAGGAAAUCAAAAACAUGAAGAAGUUUCACUGAAUGGUCACCCAAAGGAAAGUGGAUUAGUAGUUACUCUGUGAGAUUGUCAAGGUUGGUUGGUCUUUGGAGCCUAAUUCUUAUUUUAUUUUAUUCGUAAAAGAAGUCAUAUGACCUUCACGUCCUAACUGGUUUUGUUGAAUAUGUAAGAGAAUGGGGAAAAUAAAACCAAACCAAACAAAACCUGCUCCUGUUGAAGUGACAAAAAUAUAUAGACAAUGGAUUUUCAAUAAACAUUAAAAAAAAUUCAGUGGAAAAGAAUAGUCUUUUCAACAAAACUUGCUGGAAAUAUUGGAUAUCCAUGUGCAGAAAAGGAUAAAAAAAAGAGCUGCAACCCAUACUUUGCCCCACAUAGUAAACUCAAAGUGAUUGAUAUGUAAAGUGAAAAGCUACAAAUUCCAGAAGAAGAAAUAGGAGAAAGAUCUGUGACCUUGUAGGUUAAGCCAAUAUUUCUUAGACAAGCCUCCAAAGCAUGAUUCUUCUUUCAAACAAUAAAUAUAUAACUUGGAUCUUCAGCAAAAUGAAGAUGUUUGGGUCUUUGAGGGACACUUUUGAGGGAAUGAAAAGAGAAUCCAUGUAUUGGGAGAAAAUAUUUGCAACUCUUCUCUCUGAAAUAUCGCUUGUAGCCAAAAUAUAUAAAGAAAUCUCCAAACUCAAAAAUAGCAUAUGAAACAGCCUACUCAAAACACAUGGAUCACAGAGACACUUAGCAAAGAAAAUAUUUACGUGGCAAAUAAUUGAAUAUUAUUCAGAGAUUGAUUUCCAGUGGUUUCUCUAAGCUAGGCCACCCACUGUAUGGACAGCUCAGGAAGAUGAUCUGCAAAAACACAGAUGUCAAUAUUAGGAGCUAUACACAAGGCAGAAGACUCAAAAAUUUUAGUGACAUUAAGUUGUUCACUCACAGCAAAAUGAAAUUGUAGACAUGGAUUUGGGAGGGAUUCUUAAAUAAUGUAUUCUUAUCAAUAGACAAGAAGUAGCUCUUGUUGAAAAGAUUUCAUUAAUCUUAAAUAUAGACUCUUCAGGAACAUUUUGAUAACUGAUUCAUGACCUAGAUGCCAUAUUUAUUAUUGUUAAACCAGACGGUAACAACUUAGUUUAGAAAGUCAAUUUAAACAUACCUCCUCCAUGUUAAAGAAAUGAUGUGGGAGUUGGGGAUACAGGUCUUGGACAGCUUAUCACAUUUUGGGACUCAGGAUCUAAGAGGAUAAAUAUUGCUGUCCUUCAAAUACUUCAUGUGUAUUGUGAUCUCUUCCUUAAUGUAAACACCAAACAUCCAAAUCAACAUAAUGCUUCUCUUAAAGUUAAUCUCAUUAUCAAAAGAACAGAGUGCCAUAAAAGCUCACCACUGCCUACCAGGAUAUUAUAAGAAAGUGUACACGAAACUAAGGUCUUAAGAUUAACAUCUGUUGGUUCAUUAUGCAUCAUGUAAACAGACCAAUACUAUAAAAAGUGGUGAAAAUUCUGAUUCUCUCCAACAACCAGCACAUACUCAGCUUCUCCAGAAGAAGGUCAACAAGCACCAACGAGAUGAAGAUACUGCUCCUGACUCUUGCACUUGGUGUGGUUUGUGCUGAGCAGGAAUCUCAGCCUGAGACCAAUUACUCACUGGUAACAAGGGUUGGCUGAUCUGAGAGUAUGACUUGGUGGUGUGUCUGUGUGUCCCUUUGGGGGUUGUUCUGUGUAUAGCCAAAUUUAUGUGCACCUAAGCCUAGCCGUCUACCUCCAAACUCAGAAUCACUCUUUUAAGUGGCUCCUUACACAUUUCUACUGUACUUGUCUUAAAUUGUCUCAGUAUUGUCUAUUAAUUUGCUCUUUAGGCAGUUCUAUUGUACCUGUCUAAGAUGGAGAAACAGACCAAAGAACUGUUGAACUGGAGUUUUACUUUGAUAAUAAAACUUAAGCUAUUUCAGAAAUAUCUCCAUUUCUUCUUUUACCAUUGACUUCAGUUUUCACACUAUUUUAUAAAACUUGCUUUUGUUUAAUAAACAUAGUGAGUUUGGUGUUGAUGUAAAAGGGACAGAAAAUUCAUGAUGGAUGAUGUCAAAAACGUUGAAAAGAGCAUGACUAAAAAUUCUCAUAGGAACUUUGCUUUUCGUUAUCAGGAGAACGGAAAACGCUUUACAGUGCAUCCAGUAACAUAGAGAAGAUUAGUGAGAAUGGACCAUUUAGACUUGAUUUAGACAGUGCAGCUGACACAAUCAACUUCGUGAUUUUUGUCGAGAUCAAUGGACAAUCAACAAAGAAUAUCUACCACAGGAAAAAAGCAGAUGGAGAUGCUUACAUUAAUGAUUGUAAGUAUGACAGUUUUUCUGAUAAAAUUAUGUCAGGGUUGAAAUCUUGCUCUCAACAUUUUUUCAGAGCUCCAUAUAUCAGAAUUCUCAUUCUGCUAAUAAUUAGAAGUGAGACCAGAUACAAGUCCCUAAGUUUUCUAAGUACUUUAAUUUGUCAUGUGCAAAGGAUUCAAUCAUAGGAUGUUGAUGACUCUUUGAAUUUUGAGUCAAUGACAAACUGGGACCACGUGCUCAGAACAUUCAUUUCAUAGUUUUCUCAGAUGUAUGAAAAUGUUUCAAGAUAAAUUAAAAUGAUCUUAGGAACUGAUGUCUAAUGAGUCUUUCUUGAGAUUAAAUGUCGAUUUC
ensembl:lncRNA